AUGAUGUUUCCACAAAGCCGACACUCGGUACGGCGGCACCGGGAGGAGCGAGGAAGGAAGGAAGGAAGGAAGGAGGGAAGGACGGGGGGGAGCACCGAGAGCCGCCCCCUGCCCGCCCGCAGCCACCGGGAACCGGAGCGGGGGGUGCGGGUGACCUUGGGCGGCGGCGGGCUGCGGUGGGGGGGCGGGCAGGGCUGCGGGCCCCCCAUUGGGUGUGCAGCGCUGUGUGUGUUGUUCAAGGGCUCCUCUCACCUGCCGCAGCAGCUCAAGUUCACCACCUCCGACUCGUGCGACCGCAUCAAGGACGAGUUCCAGCUCCUGCAGGCCCAGUAUCACAGGUACGUGCCGGUACCGCCCCCACCGACCGCCCCGAGCAUCCCGGGGGGGUCCGCAGUGCGCCCGGAGCUGGGAUCCUCCGCUUUGGCAUCGCUGCCCUGCACGGACCGGGACGCAGCGUGGCCAAGAGAUGGGCUCCGUGCGGCACGACGCGCUGCCCUCCCAGCCCAGCACAGGUUUACCCCCAGGCUCAGCCUCCCCAGGCCGGUAUCACCUCCAGGUCCCACCUGGAGGACCGAUGUGAGCAUCCCAAGGAGGGGGGGGGGACGCCCGGUGUGCACCCAUUGCUGCCUUCCUUUCCUUUGGCCACGCAGUUCGGCCCAGAGUUGGCCAAAAGCUGCAAUCCAGGCAGGGAACGCUCUGCUCACUGCCCAAAAGGUGGGAUUCUGGAAGGAGAAGGAAGGAGAACGCUCUGCCUCCCCCACAGCCAGGUCUUACCCCAAUGCAGGACUCCAUGCACAGCUCUUCCAUCCCUCCAUCCAUGCACAGCUCUUCCAUCCCUCCAUCCAUGCACAGCUCUUCCAUCCCUCCAUCCCUGUGCAGCUCUUCCAUCCCUCCAUCCAUGCACAGCUCUUCCAUCCCUCCAUCCCUGUGCAGCUCUUCCAUCCCUCCAUCCAUGUGCUGCUCUUCCAUCCCUCCAUCCCUGUGCAGCUCUUCCAUCCCUCCAUCCCUGUGCAGCUCUUCCAUCCCUCCAUCCAUGUGCUGCUCUUUCAUCCCUCCAUCCAUGUGCAGCUCUUCCAUCCCUCCAUCCAUGUGCAGCUCUUCCAGCCCUCCCUCCUCUCGCUGGGAGUUUUCCUCCCCUCUCCCUGCUGGCUGCCAUUCUUGGCUCACAAAUGCUGCAGGGAGCACUUAAAGCCAAAUGCUUCCGCUUUUCCGCCUGCGGAAUGGCUUCUGCUGACCCAAAAGCUGGCUGCCGAUGGGCUCUCUUGCUGUUUGCUUCCUAGCUGCACGCAUGCACCAAACCAUUGCUCCGUGUGUUGCCCUUUCCCUAUUGCUCCCACCUCCCCGAGCUCUGCAUCGUGCAGCAUUGUGGCCCCCCCUUGCAGGACCCGAUCUGCUCACAGAGCAGCAGGUUUGGUGGAGGUGAAGCUGUUUCUUGUUUGA
rnacentral:lncRNA from 1 species